GAUGAACGCUAGCGGCAGGCUUAAUACAUGCAAGUCGUGGGGCAGCAUGAGUAGCAAUACUUGAUGGCGACCGGCAAACGGGUGAGGAACACGUACACAACCUUCCUUCAAGCGGGAAUAGCCCAGAGAAAUUUGGAUUAAUAACCCCAUAAUAUAUUUGAUAAGGCAUCUUAUUAAUAUUAAAGCUUCGGCACUUGAUGAUGGGUGUGCGGCUGAAUUAGAUAGUUGGCGGGGUAACGGCCCACCAAGUCUACGAUCAGUAGCUGAUGUGAGAGCAUGAUCAGCCACACGGGCACUGAGACACGGGCCCGACUCCUACGGGAGGCAGCAGUAAGGAAUAUGGGACAAUGGACGAAAGUCUGAUCCAGCCAAUGCCGC
rnacentral:rRNA from 1 species